rnacentral:lncRNA from 1 species
AAACUUUUUAUUUUUAAUGAUGAUAAAAUUUUAAGCUAAUGACAUAAUUGCUUUAUUUUUAUUUACUCAUUCAGAGUUAAACUCCCUCAAUUUCCGAACUACUCCCUUGCUGAAAGUCAGGUUCUCAGUUACUAUUACAAAAUUUAAUAAUAGAACUGUUCCAUAUGCAGAAAGGACCAAGACAAAGGAAUGGGAAGGCUAGGGAAUAACAUUAACAUCCACACACUGUAUACUGUGCUCUCUGCUUGAUGCUUUGCCCACAGUGAUAAUUUCUUCAUAUAGUGCAAUGUAGUUUGUAAGCUGGUUUUAAAUCCAUGAGAUCUCAAGUACUCUCUGCCUUAUAGGACAGAUGUAGAUACGGUUUUGGUCUUUCUGUUUUUACAGUUUUAUAAGAGUACAAGUGAUGCUGUUUUAUUUGAAGCCUGAGAGCUUCUGGUUCCAUAACCAGAAAUUGCUACCUGGCUCUUCUAAUGGAAUGGAGGGCUUUUCCAUUCUUAGACCAUCCAACUCUGAACUUGCUCCGAAUCUCAAACCUUUCUGUUCACAGAACAAACGCUCAAGGGCUUUCAAGAGUGUUUCUGUAGAUUAGGCUUAUUAGCAUCAACUUCAUGACUUCUAAAAUGUGACUGCUUUCAUGUCCAGAUAGCUUGAAUACAGGUAUCUACCAGUGAUAUGGGGUGGAGAAUUAAUAAUGCUUGGUUACAUAAAGUCAGUGUUGCUUAUUUUUCAAAACUUUUUU